ACGGGACCCGCACAAGCGGUGGAUGAUGUGGUUUAAUUCGAUGCAACGCGAAAACCUUACCCACCUUUGACAUGUACGGAACCCUUUAGAGAUAGAGGGGUGCUCGAAAGAGAGCCGUAACACAGGUGCUGCAUGGCUGUCGUCAGCUCGUGUCGUGAGAUGUUGGGUUAAGUCCCGCAACGAGCGCAACCCUUGUCAUUAGUUGCUACAUUCAGUUGGGCACUCUAAUGAGACUGCCGGUGACAAGCCGGAGGAAGGUGGGGAUGACGUCAAGUCCUCAUGGCCCUUAUAGGUGGGGCUACACACGUCAUACAAUGGCUGGUACAAAGGGUUGCCAACCCGCGAGGGGGAGCCAAUCCCAUAAAGCCAGUCGUAGUCCGGAUCGUAGUCUGCAACUCGACUACGUGAAGUCGGAAUCGCUAGUAAUCGUGGAUCAGAAUGUCGCGGUGAAUACGUUCCCGGGCCUU
rnacentral:rRNA from 1 species